rnacentral:rRNA from 1 species
CGGAUCUCUUGGUUCUGGCAUCGAUGAAGAACGCAGCGAAAUGCGAUAAGUAAUGUGAAUUGCAGAAUUCAGUGAAUCAUCGAAUCUUUGAACGCACAUUGCGCCCCUUGGUAUUCCGGGGGGCAUGCCUGUUCGAGCGUCAUUUCAACCCUCAAGCUUAGCUUGGUAUUGAGUCUAUGUCAGUAAUGGCAGGCUCUAAAAUCAGUGGCGGCGCCGCUGGGUCCUGAACGUAGUAAUAUCUCUCGUUACAGGUUCUCGGUGUGCUUCUGCCAAAACCCAAAUUUUUCUAUGGUUGACCUCGGAUCAGGUAGGGAUACCCGCUGAACUUAAGCAUAUCAAUAAGCGGA